GACGAACGCUGGCGGCGUGCUUAACACAUGCAAGUCGAGCGGAAAGGCCCCUUCGGGGGUACUCGAGCGGCGAACGGGUGAGUAACACGUGAGCAACCUGCCCCUGACACUGGGAUAAGCCUGGGAAACCGGGUCUAAUACCGGAUAUGACCUGCCUCCGCAUGGGGGUGGGUGGAAAGGUUGGCCCGUUUGGGUCUUCCGGUCAGGGAUGGGCUCGCGGCCUAUCAGCUUGUUGGUGGGGUAACGGCCUACCAAGGCGACGAUCCGUAGCUGGUCUGAGAGGAUGAUCAGCCACACUGGGACUGAGACACGGCCCAGACUCCUACGGGAGGCAGCAGUGGGGAAUCUUGGACAAUGGGCGAAAGCCUGAUCCAGCCAUGCCGCGUGAGUGACGAAGGUCUUCGGAUUGUAAAGCUCUUUUGGCGGGGAAGAUAAU
rnacentral:rRNA from 1 species